rnacentral:misc_RNA from 1 species
GAGAAGAACGUAGCGAAAUGCGAUAAGUAAUGUGAAUUGCAGAAUUCAGUGAAUCAUCGAGUCUUUGAACGCACAUUGCGCCCCCUGGUAUUCCGGGGGGCAUGCCUGUCCGAGCGUCAUUGCUGCCCUCAAGCACGGCUUGUGUGUUGGGCCCCCGUCCCCGGUUUCCCCCGGGGACGGGCCCGAAAGGCAGCGGCGGCACCGCGUCCGGUCCUCGAGCGUAUGGGGCUUUGUCACCCGCUCUGUAGGCCCGGCCGGCGCCAGCCGACACCCAACUUUAUUUCUAAGGUUGACCUCGGAUCAGGUAGGGAUACCCGCUGAACUUAAGCAUAUCAAUAAGCGGAGGA